CAGUCAUGUCUCAGUGAGAACUCAGUUCUCAUUCUGAUCACUGAUGUUAAGCAUCAUUGAACCUGGUCAGUACCUAGAUAGGUGAAUGAUUGGGAGUACCAGGUGCUGUAAG